rnacentral:rRNA from 1 species
AUUGAACGCUGGCGGCAUGCUUUACACAUGCAAGUCGAACGGCAGCGCGGGCUUCGGCCUGGCGGCGAGUGGCGAACGGGUGAGUAAUGCAUCGGAACGUGCCCAGUAGUGGGGGAUAGCCCGGCGAAAGCCGGAUUAAUACCGCAUACGACCUGAGGGUGAAAGCGGGGGACCGAAAGGCCUCGCGCUAUUGGAGCGGCCGAUGUCGGAUUAGCUAGUUGGUGGGGUAACGGCUUACCAAGGCGACGAUCCGUAGCUGGUCUGAGAGGACGACCAGCCACACUGGGACUGAGACACGGCCCAGACUCCUACGGGAGGCAGCAGUGGGGAAUUUUGGACAAUGGGGGCAACCCUGAUCCAGCCAUGCCGCGUGCGGGAAGAAGGCCUUCGGGUUGUAAACCGCUUUUGUUCGGGAAGAAAUCCUCUGGGCUAAUACCCCGGGGGGAUGACGGUACCGGAAGAAUAAGCACCGGCUAACUACGUG